CUCUGUUUGAACUUUGUAUUGGCUAAAUCAAACUCCUAGGCGUAUGCAAAAGUCUAAUCAUGUUGGAGCCUCAAAAUAAAUUCCAAACUUUUUUCAUAUUUGCAAUAUUGAUCAUUUAACUCCUCUGAUUAAAAUCUUUCAACUUUGGUGUCAACAUUAAUCUCAUCUCCUAGGCAAGCUCUGCAGGUUGAAAUUGGUACUCCCCCAAGGCAGAGAGGCAAAACGUUUGCGCAUGAUUGUUAAAUUGGUGGCCGUGACUUUUGUUUUACAAUUUCCAGUGUUUCCUUCUUGCUUGUAAUAUGAAUCCCAAAGCCAUUAUUCAUAAAUAUAUUUUAUCAUGUUUUUCUGCACACUUAUCUUCCACAAGCAAAAAUCUCAUCAUCACAUUUCUUAAAACCCUUUGGCAAAAAUCCAGACUCCUUAGCAUGAUAUAAAACUUUGAUCCUGACAUCUCUCAAAAUAAAGUCCAGAUUUCUUCCCAGGAAACUCAAAUUAUGAAACUCUCGCUUAAAAUCUCAAUGUGUUUUCAUCACUACAAAAAGCCUCACCAUCUUAGCAAGGCACCCACUUUUAAUCAUGGCAGUCCCAGCUUCAAACCUGUCAAGUUCCAUGUCUACAACAUCAAAUCCAAAUGCCUGAGCAUGAAAUGAAAAGGGGACCAAGUAUUUCUCACGUUGAAAAUCGUUAGAUUGCUCUUCUUAAACCAUAAAGCUUAAGUUCCUUUCGCACAAAACCAAAACUUUUUCACCAUCUACAGUUUCCCACUUUCAUUUCCUGUUCCUCAUGCUUCCCUCUGAAAAGACUGAGUUUCCCAUUCUCCAGCCUCCAAAAGCAUUUCGAUUUUAUUGUUCCCGGAUGUUAAUUUCUUUCUUUCUCUCAACCAAGUCCCUCUCACGGAAUUCAUUAAUUCAUACAGCAGCAUGUCCUGAUUCUUUUUCUGGGCCAGGCACAGGUUUCGAUCCCCAUGGAGGGAAAUGGAGGCAGACCCACCUUGCAGAUCAUUACCUGGGAGGAGAUGAGGCCCCGCCCUGGAGACGAAUACCCUGCCGGAGACAAAUGAAUCCUUUAACUCUUCUCCUGAGUGCCAGCCCAUCCCGUUCACUGCCCCCGCUCCCCCACUCUGGGGGAGGUCGACCUGGGACCUCCACCCCACGUCUUACCUUGGCUGCAGGCGCUCAAGUGGAUCUCCUCCGGUCCGGUGCGACUCGAACCUCGCCGCUUUCUGAAAAGUUAUUGAACACAUUUGUUUCUUUAAUUAUGUAAGUCCGGUCUUCUUGACAUGCAUACAUUUUCCACAGUGGCAACCACAGUGCACACACAGCCUUCCAGCCUGCUCUGCUUGCCUGCCUCUCUGUUGUGAGCUGCUUUUCUCCAUGUGGCUACCUUGGGGACCCCCGUGAUGAUUCCUGAGUGCUUACUAUAUGCCAAGCGCUCUUUUCAGCGUUUUACAGCUUUUCACUGGUUCAGUCCUUCUGAGAAGCUGUGAGGGCCUUCCUUUCAUGACCCCCAUUUUUCAGAAGAGGAAUCCAAGGCCCUGGCUCAUACAUUCACCCACCUGGGCCCACGCUCACUGAGGCAAGGCCUCAGUCCGGCCAGAGCGUCAGCCUCACUGGCGUCCUCACUGGCCUGGGCCCUGCAUCCCUGCUUCUCAACUCCUGGAAGCCUCCUGCUCUUGGUGGAUAACCAUUUUGCUCUCUAGCAAAUGGAUAGGAACAUUUAUGUGAGUCUGGCUUGGUGGCGUGGCUCACGCCUGUAAUCUUAGCAUGUUGGGAGGCCAAGGUGGGCAGAUCAUUUGAGGUCAGGAGUUUGAGACCAGCCUGGCUAACAGGGUGAAAUUCUCUGUCUACUAAAAAUACAAGAAUUAGCCAGACAUGGUGGCGUGCGCCUGUAAUCACAGCUACUCGGGAGGCUAACGUAGGAGAAUUGCUUGAAUCUGAGAGAGGGAGGCUUCAGUGAGCUGAGAUUGUGCCACUGAACUCCAGCCUGGCCAACAGAGUGAAACUCCAUCUCAAAAAAAAAAAAAAAAAAAAAAAAAAAAGUUUAUGUGAGUCUGACCCGGGCUGUGCUGGACUCUGAAUAAAUCUCUUAGCUGCCUGAGCUGCAACUCCUUCCUCCUGACCCCGCCACCUGCAUGGGCCAUUCUGAGUGGCUGCAUCCCAGGCUGGUCAUCCCAGCCCCGGGGGUUUUUGUCCUGCUCCCUUAUAGUAAUCUGCAGUGGUGACUCCUUUGUCUCAUUCUCCCUUGGCACACAGUAGGGCUGCUGGCAGCAGGCGAGGCCUGGGACAAGGGCUCAGAGAGUUAGGAUGCCCUUUGGCCAUGCCACUAAAUGACCAGUUUCUCUUCUCGCCCUCCCAGGUGGUCUGAAGGGGAGACGGCUGCCUUCUCGUGGGAAGGGAGCAGAUGCCUGGCCCAGGACCCCAUCAA
ensembl:lincRNA